rnacentral:rRNA from 1 species
UCGAAGGUAGCAUAAUCAGUAGUCUUUUAAUUGAAGGCUGGUAUGAAUGGUUGGACGAAAUAUUAACUGUUUCAUAAAAAUUUAUAAUUGAAUUUUAUUUUUUAGUAAAAAAGCUAAAAUUUAAUUAAAAGACGAGAAGACCCUAUAAAUCUUUAUAUUUAUAUUAUUAUAAUUUUAUAGAUUUUUUUUAUUAUAAUAAUUUAUAAUAUUUUAUUGGGGUGAUAUUAAAAUUUAAUAAACUUUUAAUAUUUAAAAUCAUUAAUUUAUGAAUAAUUGAUCCAUUAUUAGUGAUUAGAAGAUUAAGUUACUUUAGGGAUAACAGCGUAAUUUUUUUGAAGAGUUCAUAUCGAUAAAAAAGAUUGCGACCUCGAUG